UUAGAGAGAAGAAGAAAUUGUGACAUAUAAUUUUAUAAAUUGUGUUUCAUAUUUUGUCCAUCUACGGGGCCCCCUUGAUCGAGAGGCCCGGGGCAUUUGCCCCCUUGGCACCCCCCAAAUCCGGGCCUGGAUCACAUACAUCAAUUUUGGAACAGGAAAUGGAAAUAGAACAUCACCUAAUAUGGCAGCAUGGAGCAUGGAUAUGAGGCUUGGAAGAAUUCGGAUGACGAUAGCUACAACAACUGGGUUUCAAGCAAAUGGUAGCUAAAUAUAUCAUCCAUCCAGGCGACAGGCGGACUGACGAAAACUACAAACCUGAUGGUGACGCAAAAACCAUCGUUGGUCCCAUCAGCCGUAGAAACCCUGCUCAGAUUUAAAAUUAAACCGAUAGUUGGAUACAUUUUAUUCAAUAAAAUCUAUAAAAAGUUUGGGGAAAACUCAA